GCAGACACAGGAGGCAUAUUUCCAAAGAAUAUAAUGAAUCUUCUUGUCUUCUGAGGUGUGUGUCUUGAAUAUUUCAGCAAUUUUUUUUCCAUCUGAAGAUAACAUUCAAUUGGUCAUGUUGGUUUUAGAAAGGGAAGAGGAGUAGCAGUAUAUUUCAGUUAUGAUACCGAUAAGAGUUUUUGCUACUUGGAUGUCAGGUAAUAAUAUGAAAAAUACAUAAACCCAGAAAGAAAAUAAAAGAUUUUAAUUUCAGUCUACCAUGAUGUUUUAGAAUUUUCUGGAGCAAAUUAGAAAAUGUACAAAUGGCAAAUUCCAUUUAAAAAUCUAUAAGAAUUCUUAUUGAGGCCAAUGUAACUAUACAUAGAUAUUUGUCUACUCUAAAUACUUUUUCAGCAAUUAAACUGACACAAUAGAUGUACGUGUAUAAGUAAACAAGAGCAUUCAGCAAUGAUCUCAGAAUUUUACUGUUCAGUAUACUUCAUUGUGCAGGUAUCUAUGAUAAGCUGGGCUAUGUAUUAAAGUAAUUAAAGUAAUCUGACUAUCUAUAUGUUAGGUCUCAUGACAUGUUUCCAAACCUAGGGCAUUGCAGCUAAGAGAGAUGACAGAAAUAAUUCUCCCUGAAUUUCACUCUUCCAAGUUGGAUAGCUUAUUAGGUGUUUUACUUGUUAAAUAAAUAGCCUUCAUUCCACUGCCCAUGCUUUCUAUAUCUAAAAAAAUUCAGUAUCAAAGUACUUAACCCUUCUGCAAACCUCUAUUAAAAUGAGUAUGAAUUUUGCCUGGUUACAAAGCACUGAGAAAGGCCUUAUCUGAAUGCUGCAUAACAGCUCUUAUCUUUCAGACUUCCCAGGCUGAAUUGCUCUGCAAGAGUUUUCCUUUUUAAGUUAAAAAUGAGCUCAUAAUUUUUAUUGUUCAAGUAUCUGUAAUACAUUGGAGGAGCUUUAAUUUCUGAAAGAGCAAGAAUGCAGAAUUUUUUUUUUUCCAAGUGCACAUCCCUUUUAUCUUAUUAGAACCAUACUGAGUAUUAAAACAAAAGAUCAGAGAAUAUAAAACAAAUUCCAAGAGAUCAUUGUAAUAACUUUUUUUGAAGUUGAAGUGCUAAAAUUAUCAAUGCAAGCAAUGACUAGCUCUGAUUACAUCCACUUGUAUUAAGCAUUUAGAAUCAGUACAGGUUCAUGAACAUGAACAGUUUAACUAAAGAAGCUCACAUCAGAAAUAAUGUAGUUGAUUCCUUAAAUUUGUAUAUUUUUAUUUUAUCUAGUAGAAAUACAGACUUUAAAAAAAUGAAAUAUUUUAACCUACAGACAAGGAUAAUAGAUGAUAAAGAAUGCAGUAAAGCUGAAGAAGAGUUCAGCAUUUAGGCAUGUAGAAAUAAUAUGAUCUAUACAGAUAUACUAUAAAUACGUGCAUAUAUGUGUCUGUGGAGAAUACCAUUCAACAGAAAAUGUUGCAGGAAAAGGUAGUGGAAAAGUUGGAAACAUUUCAUUUGUGUAAUUAUUUUGUAUUAUUUUCUUCUAUAGAGGAAAAUAUUCUCCUUUAUUCUGGAAUGAAGUAGUAUGUGUUUGGAAGGAGGAAGAAAUUCAGGCUCAUUUAUAGGAGGCCAGAAAAAAAAAUACAGCAUUUUGGGAACAUAUUCUGAUUCUCCCUACUGCUGGUGCCAUUUCCUUUGAUACUGAUGGCUUAAGACACUAGCAACAUGGAAGCCACAAUGACACCUGUUGGCAGCCAAAAGAUUAUGUGAUUUAGAGGUGCUGAGACACCUGUUGUUGCAAGAGCUGUUGUAUUAGAGGAUCAAGACGACUGCAGGGGAAAGAGACACUAUUUAUUGGCUCCACUACUUGAAAUAUAAUGAGCAAAGCUUGAUACAACGCAGGGAGAGAACUGGGAAGAAAGUACAAAGCACUAAAUGGAAGUAUCAAAAUGCACUGAACCCAGCAAAAUGCACUGAAAUACAUCAUAUUACUGCUGCAGUUUCAGGAGAUCUUUUUCUUGCAUGGCCUUCACUCUACAUUUUCAAAACUGAGCUAAUGACACACAGAAAAGGACUCUUUAGUUCCAGCUGCUCUGAGGUCAAGGAGGAUGGUGAGAUGGAAACAACAACAACAACAACAGCAGAAAGUAGGAAACCAUUAACUAAUUGGAAGAGAGGGGUGUCCAUCUCCAGGUCAGAGGGAAACCCCAAUUAAAAUAUGUCAAGGGUAUGGCUAAGAAGUUGUUGGGAAAAUAAUAAUAAAAUGCCUUAUCGAACAGUAUGAUGUGAAAGGGAAAGUUAGAAAAAUUGCCUGAGGCAGUACAGAAUUAUUUUUGAUAUAAGGGGACGCAUUAUUGUAGACUGUAUACUAGCUCUAGAUAGUGAUAUUAGUAUGGCUAUGGGCUGCUGUUAGAAGAUGGAAAAAGAGUAGUUUACAUAGUGUAUUAGAGAACUGGGGAAAUAGUGUUUAUUUUCCCUGCUCAGUCACUGAUAUCUGCAUCUAUUUUCACAAGGUUUUCCUAAAGAGUCCUCCAGCUUUAAUCUUUCAUAAGUAAAUGCUCACAAGAAGGAAGAGGAGGUCAUAUUGACCAAUUUCUUGAAGAGCUUGGAGUUGGCUUUCCUGAAACUCAAUGUCCUGACUUUUCUCCUAUCCCACAUCCCUCAAGACUGCCAGCUCCAUGAGCACGUGAUCACUGCAGCCCAGGCUGACUUUAAUCUUGAUGUCACCAAUUAGCUCACUUGCAUUGAUGCAUUGGUGACCAUCAGGUCCAGUAUUGCAUUGCCUCUAGUAGGGCUGUCUAUUACCUGUCCUGGGAGGUUUUUCUUCAAUGCACUCUAGGAUUUUCCAGUCAUGGGACCUGUUUCACCAAGUUUCAGUAAUGGCAACUAGGUAGUAGCUUCCUAGCAGCCUGGUGGCUUCCAACUUAUUCUGUUUGUUGACCGUGCUGUGUGCAUUGAUGUAGAGGCACUUUCACCUACACCUUAAUUCCUUUGAAGUAUUUCACUGGUGUUUCCCUAUUGGCUUCUAUUACCUCAGGAGCCCCUGACUCAUCUCUGUAAGACUUCAAGUCUGCUGCAGUGUACCCAGCACAUCUCAGAAAAACAGGCUGAGGGCCCUUGCUAGCACCCCACCCCUCUAACCUUGGUGUGUUGUCUCACAGCUUGUCAAGAGCAAGUCUGAUAUUAUCCCCCUCUCCCUCCAAGUCUAGUUUAAAGCUCUGUCAGUGAGCCCUACUAGCUUGUGUUGUAGUUCGUACUACAAAUUUCUAGUAGUAGAAAUUUCCUUUUUAAAAUCAAAGAAGUUAUAUUUAUAAAACUUUCUGGGAAGUUGCAUAAAAGAAACAAUGUUGAAUCAUAAUUUUCAAAUCAGAAAAUGUGUUUCAGUAGCUUUCAGAUCAGUAAUGUCUCAAUGUGUUUUUCUAAAUGAUGCACUUCUAUUGGUAAAAAGGUAGUUAACAAAUAUGAAAAUUAUAAUAUUUAUCACUGUCUCACUUUGAUUCAGAAGGAGACAUGCUUUUAAGUUAUGAGCAGUUUAUAGGUAACAAGCUCUAUUUAAUGUAGAGGAUCAAAUAAAUACUUUUGAAGCUGCACAAAAUCCUACCUAAUUAAGUGAGAUGUAGCUUCUCUGCAGCCAGCUUCUUCCUAUCAAGGCCAUUACUACGUGUUAUGGGAUACGAUUUUAUUUUCCAUUCCACGAUGACUAGCUCCAUUGGUUUUCUCUGCCAUACGCAAAACAUUAAUCUUUCUGAAGUAUAUAUUCAUCUACUCCUAUGGUACCUUCUUCAAAGCUUUCUAUUGAUUUAUGCUUUUCAUCUGUCAUUUACAAGUAACUGUUCCAGCCCUUGUCAUUUUUUUAAUCUAUUCCCUAGAUUUCUGUUGCUAUUGCUUUUUUUUUUUUUUUAAAAAAAAAAAAAAAACUUUUGUGUGCUGUAUUCCAGAAUUAAUCCUUUUUGCAGCUUUCUUUUUUUUCAAUAUGUUUAAUAAGAAAACUUGGACCAAUCACUUGUCUUUCUAAGAAAGUACAGAACCAAUAACUAUGGUGCUAUACUUCUGACUCUCCAUCUUUCAGAAAUAUAUUAAUGAUUUUUCAGUACAUUUAUUACAGAACAGUAGGAAAAGGAAUUGAAGUUUUUUUGAAUAUACUAGUUCAUUCUCUUUGUUGCCUUGACAUAAAAAUGGCUUAUAGAAAUAAUUCAAAAUCUAGUUUCACUUUUGAGGGGAUUCCUUCCCCCGCUCCCCCUUACAUUCACUUCCUCCUCUUUACUGUCCUUUAAAGUGUUUAUUUCUACUUCUUUUUUAUUCUGCAAGCAGGCUGGUGGCCUGCAGUAUCUAUGAUGGAAUAUCACACUUAAAAUCUGUGCAUCAUGUGCCAGCAAAACCAAUUGCAGGUCUGUAAAGGUUCACGUGAGUUGCUGGUGUUUCGAUAGUUUAAAAGCCAACACAAAUACCUCAGAAAUGCCUCAUAAAUUGGUUCUUUAUUAAAUUAGGUAAGUUGGGAACAAGAAUUAUAAUUUUUAGUCUCCAGUAAAUCUCAAGCAAUGCUGAGGUACAGAGCAGUAUACUUGUCUCUGCUCUAAAAUACAAUUGGAAAUUUGUUUUCUUCAUACACAGUGAAGAAAAAAAGAGAGUUUUUUUCAAGCUAUAUGGCAUACGAAAAUUAUUCUUUCUAUUUUUUCCUGUCCUUGAAAUGAGGGAGAUAGCACAUAGGCAUGUGAAAUUUCUUGCCCUGCAGCAAAGGAAGAAAGCAAACUUCUGCAGCCUAAAACCGAACCCAAACAACCUUCCAUAUCACAAAAUGUCCUCAGAUUCACAUGUGUGUGAAUAUGGUCCUAGCAACAUUACUGAGGUUUCAAAAGACCCCUUUGAAUAUAAAGAGGAGGAAAAAAAAGAGAAACCCAGCAUUUUUUUGGUUUGGUUUUGGUUGUCAUUUAAAUGCCAGAAUCCAAAUCACUAUUUUUAGGUGAUUUUUUUUUUUUUUUUUCCCUCCUAAUCCAAUCCCUUCAUUGAGCACUUCUUACUGGAAAAUGUCAGAAAUAGCACGUCUUCGUUACUUUCUUUUGUCAAUGCAUCUUCAUAUUUUACAUAUUACAUUGUAAGGGUGUAAUACUUGCCUAAACAACCCUUUUAUUAGGGGCAGUGAUCAGCCUUUUCAGUUGUUAUGCUUUUCCCCACCUGUCCACCUAGUCCCUGCAAUGUGUUUUCCCAGCACAACGUGACCUACACAACUGAGGGGAGCCCUGAGAUUCUCUCCCUCACAGCGCAGCAGCCCCUUGCGUUUGCUCCAGCACCAUGCUCUGUCACUCAACUUUCAAUUGUCGUGUUGAUGACAGUUGUGCCCUGAAAAAGGUACAGGAGAAGUGUUCUUUUAAAAGGAACCAAGGCUCACUCUCUGCUGCUUGAAGUUUUUUGCUUCUGAGGCAGUAGAGGAAGUGUUUGAGGUUUUUUGUUUGUUUAUUCAUUUUAUAGUUUUAGGGUCAGAUUACUGGCUGAUACAAAACCAGCAAAGACUUUUGAUUUUUUUAUUUUUUUGAAGGAAUUUUGCUACUAAAGAGCUGAAAGUAUGAGCAAAGGCUUUCAACUCAGUGGGUAGAGUGCUCAUUGUUUUCAGGGAAUGGGAAGUAAGAAACUGAGCUUUUUUAUGAAUGUUGCUGGUCAAAAGAGAGAAAACUAAACCUUUGUUAUGAGUAAAUUAUAAAAAAUUAUUAAAAACUUAUAAAAAAAAAAUCUUAUGUGCUGACUCAUUGCUUGGAGUUAUGAACAAAGUGUUCAGAAGGAACAUAAGACAGGUAGAUGCUGUGAUAUCCCCCUGGAAGUGAGAUUCCCUCAGGCAUCAGAAUGCUUUUAAUGGUCAUCACUGGGGGGGGAGAUCUGGAAAGUGCUUUUUUCAUGGGGAAGGAAAAAAAAAAACAACACAGUCUCAACUUCACAUUUAACAGCCUUGCUUUUGGUAUGAAAGGCAUUUGACAAGUGAACCCAUUACGAUAAUCAGGAGAUCUGCUCUAACAACUGCUGUCAGGGAAAGAGCUUCUGUUCUCUCUCUCUCCCCUGUCUUCCUACUCCUUUACUUAACAGCUAAAUUCAGUGAACAGACUCAAGCUGUAAAUAAAUAACUCUUAAAUGAACUGGAACUUUGGGUCCUGGCUUUCAAUUUCUACCCUUUCUUGUCUACCCUUCUGAAAAAAAAGAAAAAGGUUUUCCUUUAGAUUCUGAUUUUGCAUUAUGAGAAGUAGCUACAUCAAUUAAAAAAGGCAUUAUUGCUAAACAUAAGCUUACUCGUUUAAAUGCCAGGAUACAGUAGGUUGGAAAACACCCAUUCAGUGUGCUAAAAGCUGUAUUACCAUAGUUUAAUCUUAUAUAGUAAUGAAAUAACCUAUAAUGUGUUGCAUGUGUAUUUGUUUGACUUAUGCAAGAUAAGAAGUAUACCGGUACAACUAUUUUGUCAAAAAAAUCCCAUACUCCUACUAAAAUAGUUAGGCUGCUCUAGUAAGUAUAUACAGAUUCAGUUAUAUAUUUGAACUCUGUCCAUUUAGAGAUUAUGGGGUUAUUCAACAUGUGGUUUUUGGUUAAGCACCAAUUCCAAAACGGGUAGCUGUGAGAGUAUUUAGGAUCAUUAUCUUACUAUUAAACAUUUUCAAAACAGUGUACUUGGGACCAAAAUUUAAUUUCUUUAUUCCCUCUAGUUUUAUUUGUGGUUUUGUUUUCUAUUUGGAAGUGGAGCCAAGGUCACAGCAUAUUUCAAUA